rnacentral:rRNA from 1 species
UACGUAGGGGGCAAGCGUUGUCCGGAUUUAUUGGGCGUAAAGAGCGUGUAGGCGGCCAUACAGGUCCGUUGUGAAAACUCGAGGCUCAACCUCGAGACGUCGAUGGAAACCGCAUGGCUAGAGUCCGGAAGAGGAGAGUGGAAUUCCUGGUGUAGCGGUGAAAUGCGCAGAUAUCAGGAGGAACACCAAUUGCGAAGGCAGCUCGCUGGGACGUUACUGACGCUGAGACGCGAAAGCGUGGGGAGCAAACAGG